GACGAACGCUGGCGGCGUGCUUAACACAUGCAAGUCGAACGGAAGGGCCCUGCUUUUGUGGGGUGCUCGAGUAGCGAACGGGUGAGUAACACGUGAGUAACCUGCCCUUGACUUUGGGAUAACUUCAGGAAACUGGGGCUAAUACCGGAUAGGAGCUCCUGCUGCAUGGUGGGGGUUGGAACGUUUCGGCGGUUGGGGUUGGACUCGCGGCUUAUCCGCUUGUUGGUGGGGUAGUGGCUUACCAAGGCUUUGAGGGGUAGCCGGCCGGAGAGGGUGACCGGCCAGACUGGGUCGGAGUUACGGCCCAGCCACACACGGGAGGGAGGAGUGGGGAAUAUUGAAUAAUGGGCGGAAGCCUGAUGCAGCAACGCCGGGUGCGGGAUGACAGCCUGCGGGUGGUAAGCCGCUUUCGCUUGGGACGAAGGGUGAGUGACGGUAAUGGGUAAAGAAGCACCGGCUAACUACGU
rnacentral:rRNA from 1 species